AACAACUUAUGAGAUUUCUCUGAUGUGACUGAAGUCUCUCUCUCUCUCCAGAGUCUCAGCAACUCUUAUAAGGAGCUCUAGGAAAUACAUUGGCAAAGUUCUCUGGCCUGUGUUCUACUGGAGGUCAAACUAGAUGAUCACAAUGGGCUCUUCUGGCCUUGGAAUCUAUGAAGUCAUCUCAUGCUAAGAUCACUGUCUUGUUGGGUGAUGAAGAAGACAGGACCUUUGGGAGUGAAACAGGAUGCUGCUGUUGCUCUGCCCUGCUGCCAACGUAUACAGUGCACUCAAGGCUUUGCACUGGUACCGGUAGAUGCCUCAGUACUGAUGGCCCUGGUUUUCCUAGUAGCUCAUCUUCAGCUGUGGUGCUGAUGCUCGGGAUGAGUUGCUGGAGCUGGGAUCAGUGUCAGAGAAGGCUUAUUUUGUGCUGCAGGGUAUUCCUUAUUAGUCCUAAAUGCUGUGUGGGGUUUGGUGGCUUUAUCUUCUGAGGCAUCAGGUGGUCUGUCCUCAUGGAAGGAUACUGAGCUCUUCCUCUGUGUUUGAAGCAGCCUUGCUCAGUGCCAGACUGAUCCUGAGACUGUCAUCAUCUGCUUUGGUGCUGAUAGCACCUGCUGCACUCGUGUGGUCCUGCUUUGGUGCCGGAUCUUUCCUCAGUGGUCUCUUCUCCAUGCUGGUCUUUGGAGUUGCUGCUUUGCUAGACUGGAUGCUGGUGAAGCUGCCUUGUCCACUACUUGGACCCUGAAUCUCAUCUUCUCAGAAUCUGAAGAGACCUUCAUAGACUGUUCCAAGAAACAAAGCUUCAACCAUGCUUCCUUAAGCUUGUGUGUUCUUACAGAGAAAGAAUGUCAUACUGAGCAUCUGCUUGCUUUCUGGGACUCUCCUAAGUAGACGAGACACCUGUUGUAUCCAUAUUUCUGAGGAAUUACUCCAUUGCAGGAUGGGCGCAGUUUGAAGCCUGAAGGUUUGAGCCCAUCAUGUUGAGAAUCCCUGUACAGAGAUGCUGACUGUAAAAUAUUCAGUACAGGACCUUGAGUAGUGAUGGUGUCGGGAGAUGAUCAUGCAGAGACACAUGGGGUCAAAAGAUGACUAGGGCACCUCCCAUCAAGUGGCCACUGUGCCCCCUCACCUCCUGAACAGAAUCAUCUGCACUUUGCAUUGGAUGGUGUCAUGGACAGACCUACCUCCAGAUGGCCCCAGUCAUAUAGAUGCCCAGAGAUCACAAUGUCGCCCAGGAGUCUUUUAGUGAAUGAAAGGAUCUGUCUGUGGCCUCACUGAAUAGCUUGGGUCCUUUGAAGAUGACUUCUUGGUACAUGGCAUGGCCUUUUAAACUGAUGUCAGGUUCUUAAUAUUGGAGAAGGUGGAAGCCACAGCAGUACCAGUGCCGGGACACAAGACACAGACCAAGAGGUUGACUUUCCUAUGUUCUGGUCAGUAUCUUCAUCAAUGUGUUAGAUAAUGGCACAGA